rnacentral:rRNA from 1 species
GACGAACGCUGGCGGCGUGCUUAACACAUGCAAGUCGAACGGAAAGGCCCUGCUUUUGUGGGGUUCUCGAGUGGCGAACGGGUGAGUAACACGUGAGUAACCUGCCCUUGACUUUGGGAUAACUUCAGGAAACUGGUGCUAAUACCGGAUAGGAGCUCCUGCUGCAUGGUGGGGGUUGGAAAGUUUCGGCGGUUGGGGAUGGACUCGCGGGUUAUCAGCUUGUUGGUUGGGUAGUUGCUUACCAAGGCUUUGAAGGGUAGCCGGCCUGGGAGGGUGACCGGCCACAUUGGGACUAAGAGACGGCCCAGACUCCUACGGGAGGCAGCGGUGGGGAAUAUUGCACAAUGGGCGGAAGCCUGAUGCGGCAAUGCCGCGUGCGGGAUGACGGCCUUCGGGUGGUAAACCGCUUUAGCCUGUGACGAAGCGUGAGUGACGGUAAUGGGUAAAGAAGCACCGGCUAACUACGUG